rnacentral:tRNA from 1 species
GCCGCUGUGGUGGAACUGGCAUACACAAGGGACUUAAAAUCCCUCGAAGGUGACUUCAUACGGGUUCGAUCCCCGUCAGCGGCACCA